rnacentral:tRNA from 1 species
AAUUACAGUGAAAGUCCAAAAAUCACGCAGAAAGAAUAAUAAUCGGAUUUAUAAUUUGUAUAUGCCUGGG